AACUCCUGACCUCAAGUGAUCCGCCCACCUCGGCCUCCCAAAGUGCUGGGAUUACAGGCAUGAGCCACCGCUCCGGGCCCUUGCACAUAUUUUUUUAUGAACACACAGGCAGCAGCACUUUGAUUACAGUAACUUACAUGGAAGUUAUUUUAAAAUGGCUUUCCCCUUCUCUUUUUCAUGUAGGCUGCAUUUUUCAUCUGCAGCACGCUUUCUCUCAAGAAUCUCAAGCACACACAAGAAACCAGAGAGUAAAAUCACUGAGGCGUGAACACAUCCAGAGACCAAGGGCGUCACUGGCAGAAAAGCUUUUAGGCGGAUCCACGGCCCGAGAGCCACCCUGCCCAGAGACGCGGUUUCCUAGGAGCAGUUCACACGCGGCUCUGCAGCACCCACAAGCGGGGCCAGGGGCUGGUUUUCAUAGUUCACAGUCUGCAGGGAUCUUAACAAAAACAUGGCCGUGGUAAAAGUGCCUAGACCAGGCUUUCGUCACAACUCAUCAUGUUACUAGGUUAGGAUAAUAAAAAGGACUGUGAACUUCACAUCUGCCAUCUAUAAUAGAUUCUUAUUGUAGCAAUCUUGCACCAAGGGGAUUUCUUUAUUAACUCUGCCAAAUUUUCCAAAAUUACCAAAUGGAGAAAAGAGCUGGUCCCAUCUGUCACCAGGCACAACCAGUUUGGAACCAAAACUGCAGUGUCCCCAAGGCAUGCCUGUAGGUAAACAUGAGUCCAUACUGAUAAAUGAUCGAAUAAACAGGAGAGAAGAAACAAAUCUUCAAGAAGAAUAACAUGCACAGAUACUGCUCUCUCCAGGGGUUGGAGCUGAAACCUCCUCAACCCACAGAGUAUGGAAAGGGAAAAACAGGAACUUGACAGUGGAGAAAUCUGGCAGACACCACUGUGACCAGGUGGCCAAGGUCAGCACUGCCUGGGAUAGGUCGUGUGGUGGUUACAACCACCCAGUAGGAUGUGAUGAGAAAGGUGCUUGAGAAACACAUCAAACUCCAAUUGAGGGACAUUCUACAGACUACCUGGCCAGUACUCCUCAAAACUGUCAAGGUCAUGAGAAACAAGGGAAGUCUGAGAAACUGUCACAGGCAAGAGAACGCAAAGGAGAUGGGAUGACUAAAUGCAGUAUGUGCCUGGAUGGGACUCUGGGACAGAAAGCAGACAUUACGGAAAAACUGGU
rnacentral:lncRNA from 1 species